CAAAGUCCCAGGCAGUUUCUUGGGCACAUUUCCACAUGGCCUGCAUGAGACGGGUAAAGCCCAUGUCCUUGGGCUUCUCCAGGCCUCUCAUCAGUCGCUGCUUCAUGAUGGAAACGAACUCCUUAUUGCUCAGCUCCCCAUUGCCUGGAGGAUGAGGAGACACAGAGGACAGGGUCUCGCUACCUGGCUCUGGCUGGCCUACUACUCACACUAUACCAAGCUGGCUUCAGAGUCACAGAGACACUCCUGCCUUUCUUCCCAAGUGCCAGGAUUAAAGCUGCACGCCACCAGGAUUAAAGCUGCACGCCACCAGGACUGUUUGGCUGCCUCUUAAGAAGUGAAAUAUAAAUAUCCAGUAAGA